rnacentral:lncRNA from 1 species
CUAAAGUGCUGGGAUUACAGGUGUGAGCCACCUUGCUCAUUCUAGUUUAAACUUUUGAAUGGUUUGUGUCUCCUGAUUGGACUCCUACAAAUACAGAGUCGAUGCUAGGAAGGGUACCAGGAGAUAGACGCACACAGAUGGGAUUUGGGAGUAGGUUUGGUUAUCCAAGGAGCAGUGCUGAGCUCCUUGCUAAUGGGAUAUGGGAUGCUGGUGAUUUCCAGGAAGUGACUUCACAAUGACUCAAGCUACCAUAUACUGUUGAUUGUGAAAUGCCAGUUGAAGCAUAUGUCCUGUGAGCUUAGGGGUGCUACAGGUUGACCACUGCAGCAGUAAAGAUGACUCUGAAGAAUGGCAUGGGAUGGAUCCUUUCGAAUGCACUUGAGCAGCGGUCUCCAACCACAGGGCCACAGAGCUGGAGCUGGAUCUGCCAUGAACGACUUCUGAAUCCAGGAAGAGAGACUGACUGGGCAACAUGUUAUUCAGGUACAAAAAGAUUUGGACUGUAACUCAAAAAUGAUCAAAUGAUAGUGCAUGCAUCAAGUGCAAUGGGAAGCUCUUCU